rnacentral:rRNA from 1 species
CACGUAGGUGGCAAGCGUUGUCCGGAAUUAUUGGGCGUAAAGCGCGCGCAGGUGGUUCUUUAAGUCUGAUGUGAAAGCCCACGGCUCAACCGUGGAGGGUCAUUGGAAACUGGGGAACUUGAGUGCAGAAGAGGAAAGUGGAAUUCCAAGUGUAGCGGUGAAAUGCGUAGAGAUUUGGAGGAACACCAGUGGCGAAGGCGACUUUCUGGUCUGUAACUGACACUGAGGCGCGAAAGCGUGGGGAGCGAACAGG